CGGAGGGGUGAAGCAGCGCACUGAGGAGCGGUCCGAGAAGGUGCCAUGCAGGCAGCCUGUGGAAUUGGAUGAGCAUUUGAGGUGCCACAAGUGAUGAUGGCCCCAGUGUCCGACACCGGA